UACGAAGGGUGCAAGCGUUAUUCGGAUUUACUGGGCGUAAAGGGCGCGUAGGCGGCUUUUUUAAGUAGCUUGUUAAAGACCACUUAAACCGGUGGGGAUGCGAGCUAAACUGAAGAGCUAGAGGGUAGGAGAGAGAAGUGGAAUUCUUGGAGUAGCGGUAAAAUGCGUAGAUCUCAAGAGGAACACCGAUGGCGAAGGCAGCUUCUUGGCCUACUACUGACGCUGAGGCGCGAAAGCGUGGGGAGCAAACAGGAUUAGAUACCCCGGUAGU
rnacentral:rRNA from 1 species